rnacentral:tRNA from 1 species
ACUAUUUUGGCAGAAAAGUGCCAUGAAUUUAGAAUUCAUUAAUGUAAGAAAUUCUUACAGAUAGUA